AUACGUAUGUCGCAAGCGUUAUCCGGAAUUAUUGGGCGUAAAGCGAGUCUAGGCGGCUUGUUAAGUCAGAUGUGAAAAUGCGGGGCUCAACUCCGUAUUGCGUUUGAAACUGGCAGGCUAGAGUACUGGAGAGGUGGGCGGAACUACAAGUGUAGAGGUGAAAGUCGUAGAUAUUUGUAGGAAUGCCGAUAGUGAAGACAGCUCACUGGACAGAUACUGACGCUAAAGCUCGAAAGCGUGGGGAGCGAACAGGAUUAGAAACCCUAGUAGUCC
rnacentral:rRNA from 1 species